UGGGGAAUCUUGCGCAAUGGACGAAAGUCUGACGCAGCCACGCCGCGUGAGUGAAGAAGGCCUUCGGGUUGUAAAGCUCUGUCACCUGGGACGAAAACCCCAGAGGUUAACAGCCUCUGGGCUUGACGGUACCAGGGGAGGAAGCACCGGCUAACCUCGUGCCAGCAGCCGCGGUAAUACGAGGGGUGCAAGCGUUGCUCGGAAUUAUUGGGCGUAAAGGGUUGGUAGGUGGUCUUGUUUGUCUAAGGUGAAAUCCCAUGGCUUAACUGUGGAAGUGCCUUAGAAACGGCAAGACUAGAGUCCUAGAGGGGUUUGUGGUAUUCCCGGUGUAGCGGUGAAAUGCGUAGAGAUCGGGAGGAACACCAGCGGCGAAGGCGGCAAACUGGAUAGGAACUGACACUCAACAACGAAAGCGUGGGGAGCAAAC
rnacentral:rRNA from 1 species